GACGAACGCUGGCGGCGUGCUUAACACAUGCAAGUCGAACGGAAAGGCCCUGCUUUUGUGGGGUGCUCGAGUGGCGAACGGGUGAGUAACACGUGAGUAACCUGCCCUUGACUUUGGGAUAACUUCAGGAAACUGGGGCUAAUACCGGAUAGGAGCUCCUGCUGCAUGGUGGGGGUUGGAAAGUUUCGGCGGUUGGGGAUGGACUCGCGGCUUAUCAGCUUGUUGGUGGGGUAGUGGCUUACCAAGGCUUUGACGGGUAGCCGGCCUGAGAGGGUGACCGGCCACAUUGGGACUGAGAUACGGCGCAGACUCCUACGGGAGGCAACAGUGGGGAAUAUUGCACAAUGAGCGGAAGCCUGAGGCAGCAGCGCCGCGUGCGGGAUGACGGCCUUCGGGUUGUAAACCGCUUUCGCCUGUGACGAAGCGUGAGUGACGGUAAUGGGUAAAGAAGCACCGGCUAACUACGUG
rnacentral:rRNA from 1 species